UACGGAGGAUGCGAGCGUUAUCCGGAUUUAUUGGGUUUAAAGGGUGCGUAGGCGGACUGUCAAGUCAGCGGUAAAAUUGAGAGGCUCAACCUCUUCCCGCCGUUGAAACUGGUGGUCUUGAGUGGAUGAGAAGUACGCGGAAUGCGUGGUGUAGCGGUGAAAUGCAUAGAUAUCACGCAGAACUCCGAUUGCGUAGGCAGCGUACCGGCAUCCAACUGACGCUGAGGCACGAAAGCGUGGGGAUCAAACAGG
rnacentral:rRNA from 1 species